UCCUCUGCUCGCCGAACGAAGAUGAUCCCCCGGCUUUCAGCGACGAUGAAUUGCCUUGCAACAGCGUUUUCUGUGGUUCUCUUGUGCGCUUGUACAGGAGAUUGCACUGGCGGACUAAUAGUGGGCCAUGUUGAGACAAUUACUUUAAGAGCCAUCGUGCACGGAGGCAAAUGCUAUAUGAGCGCUUACUACGUGAUCGAUGAUGGAUACACUCUCAACUUAACGAGUCCUUGCCUGGGAUUCGUAUGUAAUGCUUCAAAACGAACUGUGACAAUGCAAUAUUGUGUUCCUCCCGGCAAUAACCGACCAAAUUGUUCCAUGGUCAACACGGGCAGAAAUCCUGAUUUUCCCUGGUGCUGCCCUGCUUUCAGAUGUUGAACAGAGUGAAUCGGCGAGAAAGGCUUUUUCAGAAAAGCUUUUUCAGACAUAGCUUUUUCAUAAAAGCUAUGUCUGUUGACAUUGUUCGUUUUCUUCAAAGUGACAAACAAGACCUUAAUAAACAUUUGAUACCUGG